GGAAGUUAAGAAACUGUUUCUUAACUUUUAACUAAAAAAAUUAAGAACCGGUUCUUAAACAAGGAUUUUAAGAACCGAUUUUUAACAUUUUUAGUUAAAAGUUAAGAAAUAUUUUCCUAACUUAC
rnacentral:pre_miRNA from 1 species